AUUGAACGCUGGCGGCCGGCCUAACACAUGCAAGUCGAACGAGUGGCGGACGUGUGAGUACUGUCUGGGAAACUGCCUGAUGGAGGGGGAUAACUACUGGAAACGGUAGCUAAUACCGCAUACCAUCAGAUGUGCCCAGAUGGGAUUAGCUAGUUGGUGGGGUAACGGCUCACCAAGGCGACGAUCCCUAGUUGGUCUGAGAGGAUGACCAGCCAAACUGGAAAUUAGAAACGGUCCAAACGCCUACGGGAGGCAGCAGUGGGGAAUAUUGGACAAUGGGGGGAAGCCUGAUGCAGCCAUGCCGCGUGUAUGAAGAAGGCCUUCGGGUUGUAAAGUACUUUCAGCGGGGAGGCGUUAACCGCAGAAGAAGCACCGGCUAACUCCGUGUCAGCAGCCGCGGUUAUUC
rnacentral:rRNA from 1 species